AUUCUCUGCUCUGCCACUGUGUCAGGUUAAGGCUUGGAAUUAAGGUUCCAAGAGAGGUAAAAGGUAAAACCAAGAGCUCAUCAGACAGCCUGACCACAAAUUUCCCUCUCCAUUGUGCUCCUGUGGGUGAGGUCUCCUAGCCAAAUGACUUUCCUUAUCUUGAGGACCAGGCCCAGUAUCUGCUUAUCCCUGAGGAGUGGGUUUUGGUUCCCUCACAGCCUGUGGAAUUAUUCAAACAAGCCAGUCACAUCCUCUUGUGGGGACCAGGGCUACCUUGCAUUGUCCUCCCCUGGGCUGUGAGUAGAUAUGACUAGCGAACUGCUAUUAAUCUCCUCUGUUAAGGUUGAGUGUCAUGUGGUUGGCCAUCCCCAUAUUUCUAGGGUGGGAACUCCUCCCUCACCAAUGGGGUAAAGAAGACACUGCAUUCAGCUUUUCUAGCCUCCUAGCAUGUAUAACUAUAUUUCCACUUUUCAACCACUUGCCCUCUCUCGUGUAAUACACUACAAAGAGAAGGAAACAUGCCUGUAAUUUUCAUCAUGAUAUCCUUGGUGUCCAGCACAGUGUUCCCUGGCACUUGAUAAAUAUCUGUUGGAUAAAUGAAUGAGUGAAUUCCAAGGGUUCUUUCUGAGUAAAGAUUCCACUAAAUAGUUUCUCCUCUCACUUGCAAAAUGUUGUCACUCCAUAAUCAGGGAUGGAAUGAGGGGUGUGAGCAGGGUGUGCACGUCACCUCUAACUUCUCCAGGUUCUUCCAACCUCAGAGGUGUCCCAAG
rnacentral:lncRNA from 1 species